rnacentral:rRNA from 1 species
CUGCAGCCCGAGUGGUGAUCGAUUUUAUUGAGCCUAAAGCGUCCGUAGCCGGACUAGUAAACCCUUGGGUAAAUUGGGCAGCUUAACUGUCCAAAUUCCGAGGGGACUGCUAGUCUUGGGACCGGGAGAGGUCAGAGGUACUCAAGGGGUAGGGGCUAAAUCCUGUAAUCCUUUGGGGACCACCAGUGGCGAAGGCGUCUGACUAGGACGGAUCCGACGGUAAGGGACGAAACCCUGGGGCGCGAACCGGAUUAGAUACCCGAGUAGUCC